GGGGCUGCAUUGGUUUCGACGUGGGUUGGAAUCGCCUCAGGGCAUGCCGAGGUUCAGUCACCUCGUAAAACCGCUGAAAAAAACUAACUGCAAACGACGAACGUUUCGCACUCGCCGCUUAAACACCGGUGAGCCUCGCAACAGCAGGCCGAUGGGCUGGGCAAGGGUGGCGCAAGCCGUCCAGGCUGCGGGGGAAUUCACAUCGGCUGGUUCACGCCCGGGCGCCUUGGGCGUGAACGAGAUUCAAGGGCGCUGGCUACUCCAGUAGCGUGCGACUGCGCGGCUGGAGUGGCGAGAUUCAAAUCAGAUCGCUAAGCAUGUAGAACUGGGCGUGGAAGGUUCGCGGACGCGGGUUCAAAUCCCGCCAGCUCCACCA
rnacentral:tmRNA from 1 species